rnacentral:lncRNA from 1 species
AAAACUUUGAAUCAAAAACACAAAACUUUUUGUUCUUGGCAAAAAUGUCAAGAACAAUGAAGAACAUUCAUGAAAAAACCCAAAAAAUUUCCAUGAACAUUUUUCAUCCAAAACCAUUCAAACUUUAGGGAAAUAACAUAUAACCAAACUAGGGUACAUAGGGGUUCCAAAAGUUACUUGAAAACACUUUUAACAAGUCAAACAAGAACCCAAAAAUCCACCAUUUGGAUUUGGCCGAAAAUUCCCAAAAACAUGGCACCAAAUUUUAGCUCCAAUAUUCAUGCUCAUAUGAACUACAUCUACAACAUUUGAGAUGGCAAAAUUUCUAACAAAAUUUACAUUCAAAGAAACAAGAAUAAAGCUUGUAACAUAUUACAACAUUUAAAUCAAAACUAUGAA